GGAAGCCCCUGGGUGAUGGCACCACCGAGCAGGCACCACCUGCCAGCCCUGUGAGUGAGCUACCUUAGACAUUCCUGGCCAGAGAAAGCCACUAAAUGAUUGCUGACUCCCCCCCACCACCACAGGGAGCAGAGCUGCCCAGCUGAGCCCAGACACCCUGCAUCAUGUCAGAUAUAAUCCACUGUCAUUCCACCUUAGCCACCCCAAAUCCCUAGGGCUGAAUGAGGUCAUUGAAUAAUGAUUCCUCUCCCAGUCUCUCCCCUCUGCUAGUCCCUGGCAGACUGGAGGAUGGCCCAGAGGCAGCCAGCCCAACAGGCCUAGCAAAGCUCGGGCGGAUGGCCACCUCUUUUGGGAGGACUCCAUGGUACAUCAGGCCAAAUGAAUCCAAUCCACCAGCCUCUGGAACAACUUUCAUCCAUGUACUUAUGUGUUCUGCCUUCCAUGUUGGAUAUUCAUGCUCUGUCUGCCCCACUAGGCAGCAGCUCCUGAGGACAGGAAAUAAACUUCUUUAAAAUGCCUUCAAAAACCCUGGCAUGCACCCUGAUACAGCCCUAGUUAGUGUACAUAUUAUUAUCAGGUUUCUGAAGGUAAUCCAGGAACACCUAUUGUAUCAGUCAGCUACUGCUGCAUAACAAAUUAUACCAAACUCAGUGGCUUUAAACAACACAUGUCUUUGUGAUAUGACUGGUGAAAUAAAUUAAGCAAAAACAAAUUAAUUUUUUUUGAAUAAAAAAGAAAAAAGAGGCUGGGAGCUGUGGCUCAUGCCUGUAAUCCCAGCACUUUGGGAGACUGAGGCAGGCAGAUCACCUGAGGUCAGGGGUUUGAUACUAGCUUGGCCAACAUGGUGAAACCCAAUCUCUACUAAAAAUACAAAAAAAAUAGCUGGUUGUGGUGGCAGGCGCCUGUAGUCCUGGCUACUUGGGCGGCUGAUGCAGGGGAAUCGCUUGAACCUGGGAAGCAGAGGUUGCAGUGAGCUGAGAUCGCACCACUGCACUCCAGCCUGGGCAAAGAGCAAGACUCCAUCUCAAACAAACAAAUAAAUAAAACAAAAAUAAAAUUAAUAAAUAAAACAACAAACAUCUUAUCAAGUUUCUGGGGCUCAGAAGACUAGAAAUGACUCAACUGGGGGGCCAGGCAUGGUGGCUCAUGCCUGUAAUCCCAGCACUUUGGGAGGCUGAGGCGGGUGGAUCACCUGAGGUUGGGAGUUUGAGACCAGCCUGGCCAACAAGGAGAAACAGAAACCCUGUCUCUGCUAAAAAUACAAAAGUUAGCUGGGCAUGGUGGCACAUACCUGUAGUCCCAGCUACUCUGGAGGCUGAGGCAGGGGAAUUGCUUGAACCCGGGAGGUGGCGGUUGUAGUGAGCCGAGAUCACGCCACUGCACUCCAGCCUGAGCAACAAGAGCAAAACUCCAUCUCAAAAAAAAAAAAGAAAGAAAAAGAAAAAGAAAAAGAAAUGACUCAACUGGGUGGCU
rnacentral:lncRNA from 1 species